rnacentral:rRNA from 1 species
GAUGAACGCUAGCGGCAGGCUUAAUACAUGCAAGUCGAGGGGCAGCACGGUUAGCAAUAACUGGUGGCGACCGGCGCACGGGUGCGUAACACGUAUACAAUCUACCUUAAACAGGGGGAUAGCCUUUCGAAAGAGAGAUUAAUACCCCGUAAUAAAUUGAACGGCAUCGUUUGAUUUUGAAAGCUCCGGCGGUUUGAGAUGAGUAUGCGUCUGAUUAGCUAGUUGGUGAGGUAACGGCUCACCAAGGCGACGAUCAGUAGGGGAUCUGAGAGGACUAACCCCCACACUGGUACUGAGACACGGACCAGACUCCUACGGGAGGCAGCAGUAAGGAAUAUUGGUCAAUGGAGGCAACUCUGAACCAGCCAUGCCGCGUGCAGGAUGACGGCCCUAUGGGUUGUAAACUGCUUUUAUACAAGAGAAAACCCUGGUACGUGUACCAGGUUGAUAGUAUUGUAAGAUAAGCAUCGGCUAACUUCGUGCCAGCAGCCGCGGUAA